CGGCAGUAGCAGCAGCAGCAGCAAUAGCAGGGAAAGAAGCAGAAGACGGUGGGGCCUGGGUCGGGGCCCGGACGCGGGCUCAGCGAAUGGGAGGACGAUCUUUUUUCGGCCUCGGCCAAUGAGGGAACGGAUGGUGUCCUCGGUGACCUAUGGCAACAUCUUUUCCCACCUCCUAACGGAGGCUCUGAGAGGGACUCGAGAACCAGGAUUAAGGGAGAGGAAGCAACGCUCUGGUCCUGAAAGUAGAUGCUGUGGAUGAGACCUGGACGAUUCAGAGUCCCCUGCCUUCAAGCAGCUUUCUUUGUGCCCUGUAACCCUGGGCUUCCCCGACAGCUCAAACGAAUCCCUUGAACAGAGGGACCUGGCAGGCUAAACGCCGUAGGGUCGCGGACACAACUGAGUAUGCACACGCCUGUCGCAUAAAACCCUAAGUUUAUCCCGGUGGUAACUAGAAUAAAUAAUUUCCUCUCUGAGCCUCAGUUUUUAUCUGACAACAAAGUGAUCCUCCUAGCUGACCUUUAAGGCUUACCUGUUCCUGGGAAGCUCGAACGGGUUAAUAGAAUUAAAGCUUAUCGAGAGGAUUGUAAAAAGUUCAUGCAUUAACUUUCAUAUUAGUGUGUGAUCUCGCUUCCUUUUCUGGCCUAUUAUUUAUUUCUUUGGAUUCUGAACUCCCACAGGCAGGGACUUGACUAGAGAACGAUU